AGAGUUUGAUCCUGGCUCAGGAUGAACGCUGGCGGCAUGCCUAACACAAGCAAGUCGAACGACCUUUUGGUAGUGGCGGACGGGUGAGUAACGCGUAAGUUAUUUACAUUUAGGUGAGGGAUAACAGAUGGAAACGUUUGCUAAUACCUCGUAAUUCUAGAAAUAGAUAAAGAUUUAUCACCUAAUUAAAAGCUUGCGUCUGAUUAGCUUGUUGGUGAGGUAAUGGCUUACCAAGGCUUUGAUCAGUAGCUGUUUUGAGAAGAUGGACAGCCACACUGGGACUGAGAUACGGAACAGACUCCUACGGGAGGCAGCAGUGGGGAAUAUUUGGCAAUGGGCGAAAGCUUGACCAAGCAAUGCCGCGUGGAGGAUGAAUGCCCUCGGGUUGUAAACUCCUUUUCCCAAUGAAGAAGAUAUGACGGUAGUUGAGGAAUAAGCAUCGGCUAACUCCGUGCCAGCAGCCGCGGUAAUACGGGGGAUGCAAGCGUUAUCCGGAAUUAUUGGGCGUAAAGCGUCUGUAGAUGGUUUUUUAAGUUCCAUGUCAAAUAUCGAGGCUUAACUUCGAAACGGCAUUGAAAACUAAGAGACUUGAGUACGAUAGAGGUAGAGGGAAUUUCCAGUGUAGCGGUGAAAUGCGUAGAUAUUGGAAAGAACACCAAUGGCGAAGGCACUCUACUAGGUUGAUACUGACAUUGAGAGACGAAAGCGAGGGUAGCAAACAGGAUUAGAUACCCUGGUAGUCCUCGCUGUAAACGAUGGAUACUAAGUGGUGCUUUUUGUACUGCUGUAGCUAACGCGUUAAGUAUCCCGCCUGGGGAGUACGCUUGCAAAAGUGAAACUCAAAGGAAUUGACGGGGGCCCGCACAAGCGGUGGAGCAUGUGGUUUAAUUCGUCGUACCCGAGAAUCUUACCGGGGUUUGACAUGUUAGGAAGUUUUCUGAAAAGAAGAUGUGCCGUUUGGAACCUAAACACAGGUGGUGCAUGGCUGCCGUCAGCUCGUGUCGUGAGAUGUUGGGUUAAGUCCCGCAACGAGCGCAACCCUUGUUUUUAGUUAUUUUUCUAAAAAGACUACCGAUGAUAAAUCGGAGGAAGGUGAGGAUGACGUCAAGUCAGCAUGCCCCUUAUAUCCCGGGCUACACACGUGCUACAAUGGUUAAGACAAUGAGUCGCUAGUUCGCGAGGAUAUGCUAAUCUCAUAAACUUAAUCUUAGAUCGGAUUGUAGGCUGCAACUCGCCUACAUGAAGUUGGAAUCGCUAGUAAUCGCCAGUCAGAUAUAUGGCGGUGAAUACGUUCCCGGGCCUUGUACACACCGCCCGUCACACCAUGGAAGUUGGCCAAACCUGAAGUUGUUUUCUUAACUUUAAUUAGAGAGAAAUUACUAAGGUUGGGUUGGUAACUGGGGUGAAGUCGUAACAAGGUA
rnacentral:rRNA from 1 species